AUGAACGCUGGCGGCGUGCCUAAUACAUGCAAGUCGCGCGAACAGACGAGGAGCUUGCUCCUCUGACGUUAGCGGCGGACGGGUGAGUAACACGUGGAUAACCUACCUAUAAGACUGGGAUAACUUCGGAAAACCGGAGCUAAUACCGGAUAAUAUAUUGAACCGCAUGGUUCAAUAGUGAAAGACGGUUUUGCUGUCACUUAUAGAUGGAUCCGCGCCGCAUUAGCUAGUUGGUAAGGUAACGGCUUACCAAGGCAACGAUGCGUAGCCGACCUGAGAGGGUGAUCGGCCACACUGGAACUGAGACACGGUCCAGACUCCUACGGGAGGCAGCAGUAGGGAAUCUUCCGCAAUGGGCGAAAGCCUGACGGAGCAACGCCGCGUGAGUGAUGAAGGUCUUCGGAUCGUAAAACUCUGUUAUUAGGGAAGAACAAAUGUGUAAGUAACUAUGCACGUCUUGACGGUACCUAAUCAGAAAGCCACGGCUAACUACGUG
rnacentral:rRNA from 1 species